rnacentral:lncRNA from 1 species
AUGGGACAUUCCCGGUUCCCAGUGGGACAUUCCCAAUGGGACAUUCCCAUAUUCCCAAUGGGACAUUCCCGGUUCCCAAUGGACAUUCCCAAUGGGACAUUCCUGGUUCCCAAUGGGACAUUCCCAAUCCCAGCGGGACAUUCCCAUAUUCCCAAUGGGACAUUCCAGUUCCCAUUCCCGAUCCCAGCGGGACAUUCCCGGUUCCCAUUCCCGAUCCCAGCGGGACAUUCCCAAUGGGACAUUCCCAACGGGACAUUCCGGUUCCCAUUCCCAAUCCCAGCGGGACAUUCCCGGUUCCCAAUGGGACAUUCCCGGUUCCCAAUGGGACAUUCCCAACGGGACAUUCCAGUUCCCAUUCCCGGUUCCCAAUGGGACAUUCCCAACGGGACAUUCCCAAUGGGACAUUCCGUUCCCAUUCCCGAUCCCAAUGGGACAUUCCCAAUGGGACAUUCCGGUUCCCAUUCCCGAUCCCAACGGGACAUUCCCGGUUCCCAAUGGGACAUUCCCAAUGGGACAUUCCGUUCCCAUUCCCGAUCCCAGCGGGACAUUCCCGGUUCCCAAUGGGACAUUCCCAAUGUGACAUUCCAGUUCCCAUUCCCGAUCCCAAUGGCCGCUCCCCUCAGCGGCACCAACCACUGCCCGCGGCCCGGGGGGGGGAACCGGAACCUCCCCGGCCGCGCUCGGCACGUACCACCGUCCCGGAGGGGGGGGUACACUAACCCGGCGCGUACCACCCGCAUCACGCCCGAGGGGAGCUCUACCGCCACCUCCCGCCGAGUUGGAACCGCGGAGCGAGAAACCACCCCCUCCUCCCGGCGCUGUUGGUGCCGCCCGCUCAGCGCGCACCUCCCCCGGCCCCACGUGAGCGCUCUCCCGGCGUGCCCCGCGCUCGGCCGCCGCAGCCGCCGCUCCUCUCCGCGCCCCGCUCUCCGGGCAGAGCCUCCCGCACCGCCGCGGGGCCUCCCCUCUCCCCGCCAGCAUGUCCGGCGGCGACUCCACCACCGCUACCGCCGCCGCCUCCCCGCAGCCUCUACCGUUCUCUCUGCCGAAACCUCCGCCGCUGAUGCAGCUGACUCCGGGCGACGCGGUGCGGCCGGUGGGGUCGGGCGCGGACCAAUCACCGAAGAGCGCGCGGCUGGCGGCGCGCCCUGA